UCAGCCCUAAACACAAAUAAUUUCAAAAACAAAAUUAUUCGCCAGAGUACUACCGGCAAUAGCCUAAAACUCAAAGGACUUGGCGGUGCUUUAUACCCUUCUAGAGGAGCCUGUUCUAUAAUCGAUAAACCCCGAUAGACCUCACCAAUUCUUGCCAAUACAGUCUAUAUACCGCCAUCUUCAGCAAACCCUAAAAAGGAACAAAAGUAAGCGCAAUCAUAACACAUAAAAACGUUAGGUCAAGGUGUAACCUAUGAAAUGGGAAGAAAUGGGCUACAUUUUCUAAUC
rnacentral:rRNA from 1 species